AUGCGAACGGAGCGGUAUCGGAACGGAAAAGCGGAAAAUGCGGCCGGACUAAAGAAGAUACAGUGCGAGAGAGUGAGACACAGAUAGACGGCCGAGCAACAGUGAAAAGCGUUUGAAGGGCCAUAGAUACAAGAUAAUGUCCCAUCGAGUACGAAUCCGCCACCUCUCCCGGCGAUACAUAUGUGAAAAUCAUUCAGUGAAUCCCAAAGUGAAAGUGUGCUAAAGUCGACCGGAAUCGAGGAGAAGAAUACGGGAAAUUCGCAGGGAAAAACUUUUCUCCUGUGCGCUUAGGACAUUAGCGGCGGAAUGAG